CUCUCUUUCUAAGGUAUUCUCUCCUCCUCUCUCUCUCUCUCUCUCUCUCUCUCUAUCUCUCUCUCUCUAGUUCUUUUUUUAAAGAAUUAGUUUAGGUAGUUAGUUUAAGGAAUUAGUUUAGGUGGUUAGUUUAGGUAACAUAAUAAUAUUUAAUUGAGUUGCGGUUUUUAAUUAAAUUGAUCAUUUAAAAAAAAAAAUUGAUGGCUCCUAGGCAGAAACCUGCAGCACCUACUUAUUCUCAGAUGUUUGGGACGAUGCCGGGACAUCUUCUUCCAGCAAUCCAUUAUCUUCUGAGGCAGUUCUUAACUCUCAGACAUCUCAGAGAGUUUAAAGCAGCCUUCCUCCUGCACCUCAAAUACCCUCCCAGAGACCUCCACCUCCUCCACCAGCGGCUUCACCUCAGAAUGCCCCAGAGAAAGUAGUUCAUCCAGAUUAGCGGAUGCCUCCAUCUGCACCAUACACAAUAUUACAGUGGAAGAUUUGCUUGCCCAGCCUAGAAAAAGGGUUUGGGACCAAAAACCAUGUUUUCCGGAGCGUUUUGAAGAUGAUCAAGAGAUAUUACGACGGGGCCUAUCCAAACUGGAACAUGACUCCAGAUCACGUUAAGACGAUUUUGUUUAAAUAUUUUGCGAUAAUGUUUUAAUAUUUUUUAAUUAUUAAUUUUAAUUUUAAUUUUUUCAAAAUUUUGU